UACGAAGGGGGCUAGCGUUGUUCGGAAUUACUGGGCGUAAAGCGUGCGCAGGCGGCUUCUCAAGUCAGGGGUGAAAGCCCAGAGCUUAACUCUGGAAUUGCCUUUGAGACUGAGAGGCUUGAGUACGGGAGAGGUGAGUGGAAUUCCCAGUGUAGAGGUGAAAUUCGUAGAUAUUGGGAAGACCACCGGUGGCGAAGGCGGCUCUCUGGACCGACACUGACGCUGAGGCGCGAAAGCGUGGGGAGCAAACAGG
rnacentral:rRNA from 1 species